rnacentral:pre_miRNA from 1 species
UCACCUCCGCAGGCUGGCGGCCCCCAGGCUGGGCUGGGCGAGUAUCUCUUCGAAAGGCUCACCCUCAGGCAGGACUAGGAGC